rnacentral:lncRNA from 1 species
GUAGUGAUAAGAAAGCGGUUACAUGCAAUUUGUUUUUAUAGAACUCACUUCUGUAACUAUGAUCUAAUAUUUCCUUUCUUUAACAGAACAGUGAGGAAGAAGAGCUUGCAGAGGUAACUAAGAGUUAACUGGCUACAUUUCAGCUGUCACCAUUGUCUCACAUCUACAGAGAGAGUGAAGAGAGCCAAGGAGAUGUGUUUGCGUGUCAUAUGCAGCAUCGUGCACUGAAAAGCUUGAUGUGUGAGGUGGGUGACCCUAGUUAAAGACAUAUGUAAAUGGAUAACGUGUUAAAAAGAAAAUAUGCCCCUUUAAAAUAGGAGUAUAACAUUGAUAGGACCGACAGAUCAUAACAGUAUGUUGUUUAAAAUGUGAUGGGCAGAAAACCUUAAAACACUUGCUUACUGAGUCUGAGAAGGAUU